rnacentral:rRNA from 1 species
GACGAACGCUGGCGGCGUGCUUAACACAUGCAAGUCGAGCGAUGAAGUUUCUUCGGAAAUGGAUUAGCGGCGAACGGGUGAGGAACACGUGAAGAAUCUGCCCUCCACUUUGGGAUAACACCGGGAAACCGGUGCUAAUACCGAAUAUUGAAACAUAAGUGGCAUCACUGGGUUUUGAAAGAAUUUCGGUGGAGGAUGACUUCGCGGCCUAUCAGCUAGUUGGUGAGGUAAUGGCUCACCAAGGCAACGACGGGUAGCCGGCCCGAGAGGGCGACCGGCCACACUGGGACUGAGACACGGCCCAGACUCCUACGGGAGGCAGCAGUGGGGAAUAUUGGGCAAUGGAGGAAACUCUGACCCAGCGACGCCGCGUGCGGGAUGAAGGCCUUCGGGUUGUAAACCGCUUCCAGUAGGGAAGAAGCGAAAGUGACGGUACCUACAAAAGAAGCACCGGCUAACUAUGUGCCAGCAGCCGCCGUAA